rnacentral:tRNA from 1 species
GGGGCCAUAGUUUAGCUGGGAGAACGCCUCCUUUGCAAGGAGGAGGUCAGGGGUUCGAGUCCCCUUGGCUCCA